AGAGUUUGAUCCUGGCUCAGGACGAACGCUGGCGGCGUGCUUAACACAUGCAAGUCGAACGGUGAACCUCCUUCGGGAGGGGAUCAGUGGCGAACGGGUGAGUAACACGUGAGCAACCUGCCCCUAGCUCUGGGAUAACCCCGGGAAACCGGAGCUAAUACCGGAUACGAGACCGAGCGGCAUCACACGGUCUGGAAAGUUUUUCGGCUAGGGAUGGGCUCGCGGCCUAUCAGCUUGUUGGUGGGGUAAUGGCCCACCAAGGCGACGACGGGUAGCCGGCCUGAGAGGGCGACCGGCCACACUGGGACUGAGACACGGCCCAGACUCCUACGGGAGGCAGCAGUGGGGAAUAUUGCGCAAUGGGCGAAAGCCUGACGCAGCGACGCCGCGUGGGGGAUGAAGGCCUUCGGGUUGUAAACCUCUUUCAGCAGGGAAGAAGCGAAAGUGACGGUACCUGCAGAAGAAGCACCGGCUAACUACGUGCCAGCAGCCGCGGUAAUACGUAGGGUGCAAGCGUUGUCCGGAAUUAUUGGGCGUAAAGAGCUCGUAGGCGGUCUGUCGCGUCGGAUGUGAAAAUCCAGGGCUCAACCCUGGACCUGCAUUCGAUACGGGCAGACUAGAGUUCGGUAGGGGAGACUGGAAUUCCUGGUGUAGCGGUGAAAUGCGCAGAUAUCAGGAGGAACACCGGUGGCGAAGGCGGGUCUCUGGGCCGAAACUGACGCUGAGGAGCGAAAGCGUGGGGAGCGAACAGGAUUAGAUACCCUGGUAGUCCACGCCGUAAACGUUGGGCGCUAGGUGUGGGGAACCUUCCACGUUCUCCGUGCCGCAGCUAACGCAUUAAGCGCCCCGCCUG
rnacentral:rRNA from 1 species